rnacentral:rRNA from 1 species
GACAGAGGGUGCAAACGUUGUUCGGAAUUACUGGGCGUAAAGCGCGUGUAGGCGGUUUGGUAAGUCGGAUGUGAAAGCCCCGGGCUCAACCCUGGAAGUGCACUCGAUACUGCCGAGCUAGAGUAUCGGAGAGGUUGGUGGAAUUCUCGGUGUAGAGGUGAAAUUCGUAGAUAUCGAGAGGAACACCGGUGGCGAAGGCGGCCAACUGGACGAAUACUGACGCUGAGACUCGAAAGCGUGGGGAGCAAACAGG